rnacentral:rRNA from 1 species
GACGAACGCUGGCGGCGUGCUUAACACAUGCAAGUCGAACGGAAAGUCUCUGCUUUUUUUUUUUGCUCUGGUGGUGCUCGUGUCUGUAACACGUGCGUAUCCUUCCCUCGACUUUGGGCUACCUUCAGGUAACUGGUGCUAAUUCCGGAUAGGAGCUCCUGCUGCAUAGUCGGGGUUUGUUAGUUUCGGCGGUUGGGGAUGGACUCGCGGCUUAUCAGAUUGUCGGUGGGGUAUUGGAUUACCAAGGCUUUGACGGGUAGCGGGGCUGAGAGGGUUACCGGCCAGAUUGGGACGGAGAUACGACCCAGACCAGUAUGGGAGGCAGGAGUGGAGAAUAUUGCAUAAUGGGAGGAAGCAUGAUGUAGCAACGCCGCGUGCGGGAUGAGGGCAUGCGGGUUGUAAACCGCAGUCGCAUGUGAAGAAGAGUGAGUGACGGUAAUGGGUAAAGAAGCACCGGCUAAAUACGUG